CCUCACGCGGGCGGGGCGCAUGAGCAGUCGCUGUGCCAAGUCACGCGUCUGCGGCUUGAGGAUCGACGUCUCUGCGCAGCUUUAAUCACGCGGAAGUGAUGCCUGGAGUACUUCAAACUCUUUGUUCCCGCCGACCGGAAGUGCCUGCGCGCGACUGGUGGGCGCUUCCUUACGGAAGCUUCGGUAGGUUCCACUGCAAAUGGGUCAGAAGCACUCCCGAAGACGGAGGCCUGGUCUGAAGAUCGUGGAAAACUUAAAACGUGAGACAAACCUACCUGAUCCUCAAAAAAACUGAGGCCCAGAGACAAGGUGUGACCUCUGAAGGCAGAGGUGUGCCUCUGAGUGGCAGAAAUGGGUUUGGAAUCCAGGUUUUCUGGUUCAAAACAAAUGUAUUCCCGCCGUUAACCCGCCUGUCACAGGUAAAUUCACCCUAGCUCAUAGUUGGCGUAUCCAGAGCCCUGGCAUAUCUUCUGGACAGUUUUUCUGCUCCUGCCCCUCAGAACAGCUAUCCAGCUUCUCACUUGAGGCUGAGGCAGCACCGGGAAGAGCUUUGCGGAUCCCCUUCUGGCAGGAGAGAAGAGCAGGUGGAAUGGCGAAUCUAACGGCCACGCUGCGAUGCUCAGAUGCUCCGGAAGUGGCUGAGUCAGGGGCCAAGCACGGCGGUGACUCUGGCGUCUGCAUCUCCUAGCCGGGAAUGCUCGCGGUGACGCGGCUGGCUGACCGGAAGGACUGAGUCAGCACCAGGAAGCGCCCCGGGACCCGCCCGCGCCACGCACCUAGUGUUCCUGGACCUGUUGUCCCUGCGUUUCGUUUCUGGAGCUGAGACCAGAAUCUAGUCAAGAAGUGGUCCAAGCUGCAAACACCGUACACAGGUUCAGUUGAAGCUGCUUGGUGGUAAAGGUCUCAGUGCGUGGGCCAGGUGUGGAACCCUUUAGAGCCUAGUCCCCAGGAAGUGGAAGAGGAGGAUCAGGACUUGAAGAACAGCCGGAGCUAGGAGAGA